rnacentral:rRNA from 1 species
AGAAUCAACGCUGGCGGCGUGCCUAACACAUGCAAGUCGAACGAGAAAGGGUAGCAAUACCUGAGUACAGUGGCGCACGGGUGAGUAACACGUGACUAACCUACCCUGGAGUGGGGAAUAACUGAAGGGAACCUUAGCUAAUACCGCAUAAUACCUACGGGUCAAAGGAGCAAUUCGCUUCAGGAGGGGUCGCGGCCGAUUAGUUAGUUGGCGGGGUAAUGGCCCACCAAGACAGUGAUCGGUA